GUUUUUAUUUGAUAGAAAAUCAAUNCCUACGGGGCUCACUGGUGAUUCAUGAUAACUCCUCGAAUCGCAUGGCCUUGUGCCGGCGAUGGUUCAUUCAAAUUUCUUCCCUAUCAACUUUCGAUGUUUGGGUAUUGGCCAAACAUGGUUGCAACGGGUAACGGAGGGUUAGGGCUCGACCCCGGAGAAGGAGCCUGAGAAACGGCUACUACAUCCAAGGAAGGCAGCAGGCGCGCAAAUUACCCAAUCCCGACACGGGGAGGUAGUGACAAUAAAUACUGAUACAGGGCUCUUUUGGGUCUUGUAAUUGGAAUGAGUACAAUUUAAAUCCCUUAACGAGGAACAAUUGGAGGGCAAGUCUGGUGCCAGCAGCCGCGGUAAUUCCAGCUCCAAUAGCGUAUAUUAAAGUUGUUGUGGUUAAAAAGCUCGUAGUUGAACCUUGGGCCUGGCUGGCCGGUCCGCCUCACCGCGUGUACUGGUCCGGCCGGGCCUUUCCCUCUGUGGAACCCCAUGCCCUUCACUGGGUGUGGCGGGGAAACAGGACUUUUACUGUGAAAAAAUUAGAGUGCUCCAGGCAGGCCUAUGCUCGAAAACAUUAGCAUGGAAUAAUAGAAUAGGACGUGUGGUUCUAUUUUGUUGGUUUCUAGGACCGCCGUAAUGAUUAAUAGGGACAGUCGGGGCAUCAGUAUCAAUGUCAG
rnacentral:rRNA from 1 species